rnacentral:rRNA from 1 species
CCUAAGGUAGCGAAAUUCCUUGUCGGGUAAGUUCCGACCUGCACGAAUGGCGUAACGACUUCCCCACUGUCUCGACCAGGAGCUCGGCGAAAUUGCAGUACGAGUAAAGAUGCUCGUUAAGCGCAGAAGGACGAAAAGACCCCGGGACCUUUACUAUACCUUGGUAUUGGCGUUAGGCGCGGAUUGUGUAGCAUAGGCGGGAGGCUUCGAAGCGUGGGCGCCAGCUCAUGUGGAGCCGCAAGGUGAAAUACCGCUCUGUUCUCGUUUGACGUCUAACCUCGACAAGUCAUCCUUGUCAGGGACAGUGCCUGGCGGGUAGUUUAACUGGGGCGGUUGCCUCCCAAAGAGUAACGGAGGCGCUCAAAGGUCCGCUCAGCCCGGUUGGCAAUCGGGUGUCGAGUGUAAUCGCACAAGCGGGCUUGACUGCGAGGACGACGGUCCGAGCAGGGACGAAAGUCGGAGAUAGUGAUCCGGUGCCGGCGCACGGGCGCGGCAUCGCUCAACGGAUAAAAGGUACUCCGGGGAUAACAGGCUGAUCAUUCCCAAGAGUCCAUAUCGACGGGAUGGUUUGGCACCUCGAUGUCGGCUCGUCGCAUCCUGGGGCUGGAGCAGGUCCCAAGGGUUCGGCUGUUCGCCGAUUAAAGCGGCACGCGAGCUGGGUUCAGAACGUCGUGAGACAGUUUGGUCUCUAUCCUCUGCGCUCGUUGGAAUCCUGAGGAGGCCUGCCCAUAGUACGAGAGGACCUGGGUGGACGAACCUCUGGUAUGCCGGUUGUCGCGCCAGCGGCACGGCCGGUUGGCUACGUUCGGGAGGGAUAACCGCUGAAAGCAUCUAAGCGGGAAGCCUGCUCCAAGAUAAGCAUUCCGUGGAACCUUCGAGUUCCUGUAGUCCCCAUGCAGAACACGUGGUCGAUAGGCCGGACGUGGAAGCCCCGCAAGGGGUGGAGCUGACCGGUACUAACGGGGGAAAGGCAAUCAUAC